GCCUACGGGGGGCAGCAGUGAGGAAUAUUGGUCAAUGGUCGGGAGACUGAACCAACCAAGCCGCGUGAGGGAUGAAGGUACAGAGUAUCGUAAACCUCUUUUGUCAGGGAACAAAGGCGGGGACGUGUCCCCGGAUGAGUGUACCUGAAGAAAAAGCAUCGGCUAACUCCGUGCCAGCAGCCGCGGUAAUACGGAGGAUGCGAGCGUUAUCCGGAUUUAUUGGGUUUAAAGGGUGCGCAGGCGGUCUGUUAAGUCAGCGGUCAAAGCCCGGGGCUCAACCCCGGCCCGCCGUUGAAACUGGCAGU
rnacentral:rRNA from 1 species